rnacentral:misc_RNA from 1 species
AAGGAGUCUAACAUAUUUGCGAGUCUUUGGGUGGCAAACCCAUAGGCGUAAUGAAAGUGAAUGCAGGUGGGAUCCCCUUGGGGUGCACCAUCGACCGAUCCAGAAUUUUUAGGAAGGAUUUGAGUACGAGCACAUAUGUUGGGACCCGAAAGAUGGUGAACUAUGCCUGAAUAGGGCGAAGCCAGAGGAAACUCUGGUGGAGGCUCGUAGCGAUUCUGACGUGCAAAUCGAUCGUCAAAUUUGGGUAUAGGGGCGAAAGACUAAUCGAACCAUCUAGUAGCUGGUUCCUGC